rnacentral:snRNA from 1 species
GUACUUAGCUGGUGCCAGGGCGUCGUUGAUCACUGAGGAUGAGCCCCCAGGGCGAGGCGCGGGCAUAGCACUGCGCUCGCGUUGACCCCUGCCACUACCCCAAACAGGGGCAGACGGGGCAUGCGAAUUGC